CACUCCUGCGGGAGGCAGCAGUGAGGAAUAUUGGACAAUGGGUGGAAGCCUGAUCCAGCCAUCCCGCGUGCAGGAAGACGGCCCUAUGGGUUGUAAACUGCUUUUAUCUGGGGAUAAACCUACUUACGUGUAAGUAGCUGAAGGUACCAGAAGAAUAAGCACCGGCUAACUCCGUGCCAGCAGCCGCGGUAAUACGGAGGGUGCAAGCGUUAUCCGGAUUUAUUGGGUUUAAAGGGUCCGUAGGCGGACUGAUAAGUCAGUGGUGAAAUCCGACAGCUUAACUGUCGAACUGCCAUUGAUACUGUUAGUCUUGAGUAAGGUUGAAGUGGCUGGAAUAAGUAGUGUAGCGGUGAAAUGCAUAGAUAUUACUUAGAACACCAAUUGCGAAGGCAGGUCACUAAGUCUUAACUGACGCUGAUGGACGAAAGCGUGGGGAGCGAACAGGAUUAGAAAUCCUGGUAGUCCCAUG
rnacentral:rRNA from 1 species